GCCUGGGACAGCUCAGUCAGUAGAGCAUGAGACUCUUAAUCUGAGGGCCGUGGGUUCAAGCCCCAUGUUGGGCA